GAGGGUAGAGCUCAGUGGUAAAGCACAUGCUUUUCAUGAACCAGGUUCUGGGUUCGAUCCCCAGCACCUCCA
rnacentral:tRNA from 1 species